rnacentral:lncRNA from 1 species
GGGCAUAAGGUUAAAGCCUUAAAGGCUUUCUGAUGGUACUCAUAAAAGAUGUCAUCAUCUGUGUCAUAAGGUUAAAGCCUUAAAGGCUUACUGUAUAAGGCAUUCCCAUGGAUGUGUUCAUUACAUUACCACGAGCCGAAGGCAGGGUGGCCAUGACUUGUUUUCAUGAAGUAGCAAUGGGAGGGGGAACACUUGAAGUUGGUGACUUACCAUAAUUGAUCAAGAGUGGUUUUAUGCCCCAUAGGUGCACCGGUUGUAACGGGUUGGUAGGUAAAUAAGGGAAAAGCGGUUGGACUUGGCCUCCCAAAAGCUUAAAGGCUUGAGUGGUUGGUCUGUCACACUAGGACCAACUUCAAGGUAAGAUGUGGCUAAACGUGAGCUGCUAAAAGGAAGAGAUGGAGGGCCAGGUGAUAAUGAGGGUUUAGACUCGUCAUAAUUUAGUAUUAUUCUCACCCUUUUCCCUUUCUAAGCUCACAUGCUAGUUGAGAAGAAAUCUCUCAUAUAAGAAAUUUCUAGCUACUCCCUCAAGUGUUAGAUUUAUACAUUCCGGUGUAUGCAUUGCAUCGAUUUGAGUAGGUGCAACCCCUGACCGAGAUGGGGUUGGUGUUUGAAAAGAAGUGAACUCCGGGAACAUAUCCCGGUGGAGUACUUCCGGGAGUAGAAAGAGGUGUAGAUAGGACCGAUGAGAUCCGACCCGAAUUUGGUGUUAAAUCGGUGUUGUUAGGCACCUGAUUUACCUGACCGAGAGACUCGCUUUCAUACAUGAUGUAAAGAGAAAAUGGAGCUACACAACUGGUCUUUAAGAUAAAGUAAGCAGCGUAGCCCCACGGUGGGCGCCAACUUGUUGAUGCAACAAAUACAAGACCAAGGCCUGUAGCGAUAUCUCCGAGGUAAAAGGGUUCAAGGGUUUCGAUUAGCCUAACGCAGGUCGUGGGGUCCCCCCACGUUUGUAGCACGUGGAGGUGGAUCACUUUGUUAUUAUUCACUUUGAAUUCUGGAUUGAAGGGUUCAACCCAGAAUGUCUAGGUUAAGUGAGAUAAUGUUGUAGUGAGCCGAGAAUAGAACAAGCAUGGAGCAAGUUCUAGAGAGGAGAAGUAAGAUCAGAGAUCAAGGGGAAAGAAUCUUCUAUAAGAGGAAGCCUUUGACCAGUGAUCCUUGGCUACAGUGAGGGACUUGCCCAUUUGAGGGUUGAAGGGUUUAGACCAGCGGGUAAAAGGGUGUUCUCUGUGCACAUACUCUCUUUUACGGCUGUGAGAGUGUUGGACACGCAGAGGGUGAUGUGACAAGGCUCUGACUUGUCUUUUUACUGUUCAUGACCGUUGGAAUAUUUCCGAACCUUUUAACCUUUCAACCUUUUAAGCUGUUGUGUCUCUAAUCAGGUUAUUAAGGUUUGAGCUACCCCCGUCAUUACCAUCCAUCUUUCAAAAAGAGCUAGAACAAACUAUAAAAUGCUAGCAUAAUCAUCUGACAAUGAGAGUAGUGAAGCGAAGGCUGUUGUUGUUCACGCUAACCUCAAAAAUUGUCGACAUUCAUAAACUGUAACUUAAUAGACUGAAGCAGAUAAAAAAUAACAGGGUAUCUAUCACAAAAAGUUUGAAAAAGAUCCUUAAAAACAUGUCUUAAAUUUGUGAAAUGAGAACAAACUAACAGAUUCAGAGAACAAAAAUAAUCAGUCUUUGGUACCAAACAUGGUUAACAUAGACAGACUUGUCCAAAAA